rnacentral:snRNA from 1 species
GGAUGUGAGGGUGAUCUGGCUGCGACAUCUGUCACCCCAUUGAUCGUCAGGGUUGAUUCAGCUGAUCUGGCUGGCUAGGCAGGUGUCUCCUUCCUCCCUCACCGCUCCAUGUGCGUCCCUCCCAAAGUUGUGCACUCAGUUAAAGAGGACGACCUUCCCUGAAUAGAGGAGGACCAACCUUCGGCCAAGGGCACACGAGAAACGGGAGUCUCUGAAUGUCCUUUAAAAGGAGUACUGGGUUGUUUUUAACAAAGAGCCUAUCUAACCUUUGCCUUUCUCAUUCCAAUCCCACUGGGCAUCCCAGCUGGGACUCU